GAGGGGUGGAGAAACUGAAAGAGACUGAAAACAGAGUAGGGACUUAAUAAAAAGAAAUGUAAAUGUUACCAAUAUUUUUCUAAGGGGCUACAAAGAAAACCUAAUUAGCAUAACUCUCUAGGCACUAGAUGUUUUCUGUAAUUUAAAACACUAUUAGUCAAGUACCUUGAAUGGAAGAAAUACAUGCAGACUCUCAGUUAAUGUUGUGAAGAAUUCAUCAUAAGGUCUUCCAUUCACCUUCUGAUCUCUGCUGUCCUGGUCAGAAAUCCCUAUCAUUUGACAGAAGUUUGGUGGUUGAAUAAAAAGAAUUCGUCGUCUCAGCUUUUCACAUUGGCAACAUUCUUUUGCAACUGUCCAUGAAGUUCCAUUAACCAUCCACCACUGCAAAAUGCUAUUUAGUAGCCAGUGCCAUCAUGUGCAAUGGGGCAAAUCAUACACCUAUUGACCAAUGCUACACAUUUGUUUAUGUUGUCUCUCUGGUUCGACAAGUCUGUACCAAUGGCACCUGUUAAAGCUGCUUCAACUAAGCUGUUCUGCAUUUGUCUGGCUGGAUUUGGACUUCCUGGAUCUCUGACUGAAUACAAAGUGAUUAGAAAAAUCAGUGUUUGGCAACAAGCACAGUGGGGAGUACACUGUGUAUUGGUAUACAAGAGCACAAUGUGUUCUUCAUAACAUCACUGAGGGAGCAUGCUGCUAGAAUCUCUGUGCUGUUGAGAUCAAAAUGGUCUCCUUUGUUGUCAGCUGUUUAUUAGCAGCUGUUUAAUGUAAUUCCAAAUGAUCUGCUUGAAUGAAGUUGCCAUUCUUACAGUUCACUUUAAUGUAGUAAAAAACCCAGAUUGGUCAUAUUAUUUUUCUAUUGUUCUUCUGAAAAGUUACAAUUCUUAUG